rnacentral:rRNA from 1 species
CCCUUAGAUGUUCUGGGCGGCCCGCGCACUACAUUGGCACUCUCAAUAAGUUCCUAGAUCUAAAACUUUGGGGUAUUCUAUUAAGUGGUGUCGUGACUGGGAUUAACCCUUGCAAUUAUUGGUUACGAACGAGGAAUUCCUUGUAAUCGCGGUUUAUCAGCCCGCGUUGAAUGCGUCCCUGCCCUUUGUACACACCGCCCGUCGCUCCUACCGAUGAAUCGUCCGGUGAAGUUCAUGGAGUGGUGGUUGUUCCAGCUGCUGCCGAAGUGAAAUGGACCUCACGAUUUAGAGGAAGGAGAAGUCGUAACA